rnacentral:rRNA from 1 species
GACGAACGCUGGCGGCGUGCUUAACACAUGCAAGUCGAACGGAAAGGCCCUGCUUUUGUUUGUUUCUCGAUUGCCGAAGGGGUGAGUAACACGUGAGUAACCUCUCCUUGUCUUUCGGAUAUCUCCAGGAAACUGCGGCGAUUACCGCAUAGAAUCUCUUGCUGCACGUUGGUGUUUGGAAAGUUUCGGUGGUUGUGGCUGGUAUCGCGGCUUAUGAGCUUGUUUGUGUAGUAGUGGCUGACCAGGCUUUUGACGGGUAGGCUGCCUGGGAGGGUUACCGGCCACAUUGGGACUGAGAUAGGGCCCAGACGCCUACGGGAGGCAGCAGUGGGGAAUAUUGCACAAUGGGCGGAAGCCAGAUGCAGAAACGCCGGGUGCGGGAUGACGGCCUUCGAGUUGUAAACAGAUUUCGACGGUGACGAAGAGUGAGUGACGGUAAUGGGUAAAGAAGCAACGGCUAACUACGUG